rnacentral:lncRNA from 1 species
UGUCCAGGUGCAGUGAGCUAGAACGCGAAGCCCUUUUCCCUAUUCCUGGAGCUGUGUUCCACCUGCCGCCUGGCACUCAGGCCCCACCCUUCCUGCUCUUGGUGCCUCAAGUAGUCUCCACCAACCCUGUGGUGUGGCCAGCCCCAUGCUGCUCAAGCUGCAGCAAAAGAGGAAGCAGACACUGCUCUCAAGAGUGUUGCAGCUUGAUCGGUAAAACAGCUACUUCUGUUGAAGAAUCUACCAGCCAUCGUGCCUCUUUGGACCAAGGACCCCUGAGACACCAGCUCCUGUGCCUGUCCUAACCUCCCCCGAGAGCUGCUUCCUCCUUGCCUGUGAGAAGGCCUUAGCAGCAUGAGCCCAGCUGCUCUACCUUCUCCUCCCCUUCCUCCAGCAAGGUGAGCUCUAUAUCCCCAGCCCAGAGAAGUGGGCUUGCUCCUCAAAUGUCCAGGGGCCAGCCCCAAGCUGUGAUGAUUCAGGGAGAUUCCAGGGUGAGGGAGAGCAGGGAAUGAUUAAUCUCACAGCUAAUAGAUAACUGUGCCCACCCCCUACCCACAGGAGACAGCACUUGGAGCUAUAUCACUAGGAGGGGCCAGGGGUUAAAUGUGGCCACUAGAGAGCCCAUAGUUCUGGGAGGGGCAAGCCCCUGAGGCUGGAUCUGGGGCUGGCUCUUGGGGAAGGAGGGAUCUUGCUGGCUGGACAGCAAGAAGAAUCUGGGUAGACAGAUGUGGCUCAUAGUCAGCCCUGCUUCCUCAUGCCAUGUCUGGGGCCUGGAGUCUGAGGAAGCAGCCUGUGAGGACAAACUACCCAUGCAAUGAGACUCAGGGGAGUGUGUCUGUCUUCCAGAGACGCCCCCGCCUCCUGACUUGGCCUUUCCUUCCCUGUGAGUCCUGUCCCACCCCCACAUUUGGGCAGCUGAGUUGGAUGAGGUGGGAAAUGUAGGCAGUGUGAUUUUGUAGCAAAUGGCAGCUCAAAGCUGUGUGAUCUUGGGCAAAAUGUUAACCCUUUCUGAGCUUUGGUUCCCAUCCUUAUUCAGUGAGGCAAUCAGGGCUGCUCUGUGGGCUGAAUGAGACCACGCAGGUAAAGCUCUUAACACGGAUGGUUAUGAGCUCCAGGCAUGCUCGCUUUUCCCUGCUAACCAACCUUGGGCUUGGCAAGUUCUCUCUAGUGCAGCUCUGGGUGGCAGUGACUUCAGUUUAAACCCAGCUCAGCACCUUAAGGGGUGGGGUGUGAACUGGCCUCAAGGGGCCCAGUUAGAGCCCUUGUGGAAGCACAGGGCAAAGCCAGCUCUCCAAUCUCUCUGCAGAAACUCCUGAGGCUGAGCCUCAUAACUUAUAUGAGGUCAGAGCAGCCCUCGAAGGUCCUGGCCAGCAGCCGGUGGAUUCAGAGCGGGGAGCCCUCUCAGAGUUUUCCAUCCUUCAGCCAACAAGUGAAGACCUGCUGUCUACACCACUGGGGCCGAGGGUGCGUGGCAGUGGGAGCAUAGAGACCCUCUAAAGGAAAUGCUUCAGUAGACAACAGUCAAAAUAAUCAAAGGAGGGGCAGGGACUUGCCCUGGUCCCACGCCCCUGCCUCAUGUUUCUUACAUACCAGGAGUGAACUUGCAGCUCCAGAAGCAGCACACACACAGGAGGUGUUGCUGUGGACCAGGAGGACUGCACACACGUUCAGAGCAGGAGAUAAAGGGGUCGAGGAAGGCCUCCGGGAUGAAGGGCCUUGAGCAGGACCCUGAGAACACAUUGGAUUUAGGACCCUGGCUGAUAUACCUGCUGUGUGAGCCCCUCUCCAUGGCCCAAUCUCUCGCCCCGCCUGAUGUCCUGGUAUUACUGCUGUCAUCGUCACCACCAGCCCCUUCACACCCCCAACUUUUAGUGAG